UGGGGAAUUUUGGACAAUGGGGGCAACCCUGAUCCAGCAAUGCCGCGUGUGUGAAGAAGGCCUUCGGGUUGUAAAGCACUUUUGUCCGGGAAGAAAUCCCCUGCCCUAAUACGGCGGGGGGAUGACGGUACCGGAAGAAUAAGCACCGGCUAACUACGUGCCAGCAGCCGCGGUAAUACGUAGGGUGCGAGCGUUAAUCGGAAUUACUGGGCGUAAAGCGUGCGCAGGCGGUGAUGUAAGACCGAUGUGAAAUCCCCGGGCUCAACCUGGGAACUGCAUUGGUGACUGCAUUGCUCGAGUAUGGCAGAGGGGGGUGGAAUUCCACGUGUAGCAGUGAAAUGCGUAGAGAUGUGGAGGAACACCGAUGGCGAAGGCAGCCCCCUGGGCCAAUACUGACGCUCAUGCACGAAAGCGUGGGGAGCAAACAGGAUUAGAUACCCCUGGUAGUCCACGCCCUAAACGAUGUCAACUGGUUGUCGGGCCUUCAUUGGCCUGGUAACGUAGCUAACGCGUGAAGUUGACCGCCU
rnacentral:rRNA from 1 species